UACGUAGGGGGCGAGCGUUAAUCGGAAUUACUGGGCGUAAAGCGUGCGCAGGCGGUUUGUUAAGACAGAUGUGAAAUCCCCGGGCUUAACCUGGGAACUGCAUUUGUGACUGGCAAGCUAGAGUAUGGCAGAGGGGGGUAGAAUUCCACGUGUAGCAGUGAAAUGCGUAGAGAUGUGGAGGAAUACCGAUGGCGAAGGCAGCCCCCUGGGCCAAUACUGACGCUCAUGCACGAAAGCGUGGGGAGCAAACAGG
rnacentral:rRNA from 1 species